UCCCAGCAGUCAUAGAGCGUGAGGCAGGGUACACCUUGGACAGGACGCCAGUCUGUCACAGGGACCAUGAGAAUUCAUUCAGGAAAAAAAAAAUAGACAAAAGUUUUACAAAUUGGAAUUAACAUGAAAAAACAAGACCACAGCCAUCAACCCGUUUGUGAGAUCAGUGGUGACCUAUGGGUUUGGCAUAGUAGACUGGCCACAGGGUGCGCUUAAGUUAAAUACUAAAACCAGGAAGAUACUCACCCUCCACAAAGUUACACACACAAAUCAAUGCAUGGACCAAAUAUAUUUCCCUCAUAGAGAAGGUGGUCUACGUCUCACUGAAAUCAACCAGGCCUACAGAGCAUGUAUAAUAACUAUUGGACAGUACUUAAAGAGUUAUGAAGCAGAAGUCAUGAAAAAGCUUGCACAACAUCACGAGACCUUUUCCCAACAACCUCCAUUAUAACAUUGGCAGAAAUCCUUGGCGGAGCCCUUGUAGAAUACAGAGCAUGCACCUGAAACCUGCAACAAAACUAUCAAGACAGACCAGAGGAAAAUAGAGCAAAAGAGAACAAAAAUUUUGAGUGGACAGAUGGAAGCAGCACAAAUGGGCUGGACAAUUCCAAGAACAACUGGAAAAGGA